rnacentral:rRNA from 1 species
CAGUCGCCGCGGGAAUACGGAGGGUGCGAGCGUUAAUCGGAAUUACUGGGCGUAAAGCGUACGCAGGCGGUUGGUUAAGUCAGAUGUGAAAUCCCCGAGCUUAACUCAGGAACUGCAUUUGAAACUGGCAGGCUAGAGUCUCGUAGAGGGGGGUAGAAUUCCAGGUGUAGCGGUGAAAUGCGUAGAGAUCUGGAGGAAUACCGGUGGCGAAGGCGGCCCCCUGGACAAAGACUGACGCUCAGGUGCGAAAGCGUGGGGAGCAAACAGGAUUAGAUACCCCGGUAGUCCCUGUCUCUUAUAC